rnacentral:rRNA from 1 species
CAGUAGCCGCGGUAAUACGGAGGGGGCUAGCGUUGUUCGGAAUUACUGGGCGUAAAGCGCACGUAGGCGGCUUGGUAAGUUAGAGGUGAAAGCCCGGAGCUCAACUCCGGAAUUGCCUUUAAGACUGCCGAGCUAGCAGGUGAGAGAGGUAAGUGGAAUUCCGAGUGUAGAGGUGAAAUUCGUAGAUAUUCGGAAGAACACCAGUGGCGAAGGCGGCUUACUGGCUCAUACUGGACGCUGAGGUGCGAAAGCGUGGGGAGCAAACAGGAUUAGAUACCCCAGUAGUCCCUGUCUCUUAUAC